CUUUCUUUCGAAAUGAUAUAAAAAUUGGAACGAUACAGAGAUUACUAGCAUGAACCCUAUGCAAAGAUGGCAUGCAAAAGCGAAAAGCGUUUCGGCUGCCA
rnacentral:snRNA from 1 species